GGAUAUAGCUCAGUGGUAGAGAGCAUGCUUAGCAUGCAUGAGGUCCCAGGUUCAAUCCCCAGUACCUUCA
rnacentral:tRNA from 1 species